rfam:Ovis aries breed Texel chromosome 1, whole genome shotgun sequence.
UCCCUGGUAGUUCAGGUGGUAAAGAAUCUGCCUGCAAAGCAGGAAACCCAGGUUCAAUCCCUGGGUUGGGAA